AUUGAACGCUCGCUGCAGGCUUAACACAUGCAAGUCGAGCGGGGAAAGGUAGCUUGCUACCUGACCUAGCGGCGGACGGGUGAGUAAUGCUUAGGAAUCUGCCUAUUAGUGGGGGACAACAUUCCGAGAGGAAUGCUAAUACCGCAUACGCCCUACGGGGGAAAGCAGGGGAUCUUCGGACCUUGCGCUAAUAGAUGAGCCUAAGUCAGAUUAGCUAGUUGGUGGGGUAAAGGCCUACCAAGGCGACGAUCUGUAGCGGGUCUGAGAGGAUGAUCCGCCACACUGGGACUGAGACACGGCCCAGACUCCUACGGGAGGCAGCAGUGGGGAAUAUUGGACAAUGGGCGAAAGCCUGAUCCAGCCAUGCCGCGUGUGUGAAGAAGGCCUUUUGGUUGUAAAGCACUUUAAGCGAGGAGGAGGCUACUUAGAUUAAUACUCUAGGAUAGUGGACGUUACUCGCAGAAUAAGCACCGGCUAACUCUGUGCCAGCAGCCGCGGUAAUACAGAGGGUGCGAGCGUUAAUCGGAUUUACUGGGCGUAAAGCGUGCGUAGGCGGCUUUUUAAGUCGGAUGUGAAAUCCCUGAGCUUAACUUAGGAAUUGCAUUCGAUACUGGGAAGCUAGAGUAUGGGAGAGGAUGGUAGAAUUCCAGGUGUAGCGGUGAAAUGCGUAGAGAUCUGGAGGAAUACCGAUGGCGAAGGCAGCCAUCUGGCCUAAUACUGACGCUGAGGUACGAAAGCAUGGGGAGCAAACAGGAUUAGAUACCCUGGUAGUCCAUGCCGUAAACGAUGUCUACUAGCCGUUGGGGCCUUUGAGGCUUUAGUGGCGCAGCUAACGCGAUAAGUAGACCGCCUGGGGAGUACGGUCGCAAGACUAAAACUCAAAUGAAUUGACGGGGGCCCGCACAAGCGGUGGAGCAUGUGGUUUAAUUCGAUGCAACGCGAAGAACCUUACCUGGUCUUGACAUAGUAAGAACUUUCCAGAGAUGGAUUGGUGCCUUCGGGAACUUACAUACAGGUGCUGCAUGGCUGUCGUCAGCUCGUGCCGUGAGAUGUUGGGUUAAGUCCCGCAACGAGCGCAACCCUUUUCCUUAUUUGCCAGCGGGUUAAGCCGGGAACUUUAAGGAUACUGCCAGUGACAAACUGGGGGAAGGCGGGGACGACGUCAAGUCAUCAUGGCCCUUACGACCAGGGCUACACACGUGCUACAAUGGUCGGUACAAAGGGUUGCUACCUAGCGAUAGGAUGCUAAUCUCAAAAAGCCGAUCGUAGUCCGGAUUGGAGUCUGCAACUCGACUCCAUGAAGUCGGAAUCGCUAGUAAUCGCGGAUCAGAAUGCCGCGGUGAAUACGUUCCCGGGCCUUGUACACACCGCCCGUCACACCAUGGGAAUCUGUUGCACCAGAAGUAGGUAGUCUAACCGCAAGGAGGACGCUUACCACGGUGUGGCCGAUGACUGGGG
rnacentral:rRNA from 1 species